CCUCUGGGGAAGGCGUUGGGCUCUGACUGCGGCGCACCCCGACUCCCUCCUGACCCCGGCGAGACGUGAUCGGUGUUUGCCUUCCUCCCCUUUCACAGGGCCUCGGCUGUUGCGUGCAGAGAAGCUGUCAGCCUUGUGAGAGAGCACGCCGCCGGCAAGCGCAUCGUGGUGCUUCGGUACCGAGCUGAGACCGCAGGCGUCCGUCUUUUGUUUGCGAAAAGGGAUCGCGAGGAAAGGUGCUGACCUCGGAGGGGGAGAGGUGGCGGGGGAACAGGGGGCGUUCCCACAAGGCAGCGGUGUGGAGCCGAAGGGGACUGCGAUUGAACGGGGACGGAGCCGUUUGGACCGAGUCUUGAAGAUCUCUCGGGUUUUUGUCCGAGGAAACUUCGUCUCGAGACGGUCCUAUCGCUCGCUGGCAACGUGACUAGUUGAAUCGAGAAUGUUCGCUGCCGGAACUUCAUCCACCGAGAUGGGAAGCCAGGCAACUUCCUAACGGGCCGUGGGCAGAGUUCCCUUCUUGAUGCCGUGCCUCUAUAAUAAACUGUGCAGUCCGUUAGCUGGACGGGCUGCAGUACCCAAAUUUUUUCGCCAGGUGGCAGCACCGCGCCCCCCCCCGGCGGAGUAAGGGCAGCGCAUGCGCAGACGCGGCAUGACGCCGAAGGGGGCGUGGCCUCCGGGCACGUCGCGGGCCGAUGACGCAAUCCCGCUUUGGCGCAUGCGCAGAAGGGCUUUCUGGCCAAGUAAGGUCAGCGCAUGCGCAGAAGCGGCUUUGACCCUCAGGGGCGGGGCUUCCGGCCCCGUGCGUCCGGGCCGAUGACGCAAUCCCGCUUUGGCGCAUGCGCAGAAGGGCUUUCUGGCCAGGUAAGGUCAGCGCAUGCGCAGAAGCGGCUUUGACCCUCAGGGGCGGGGCUUCCGGCCCCGUGCGUCUGGGCCGAUGACGCAAUCCCGCUUUGGCGCAUGCGCAGAAGCCUUGCUGGCCGACGGAGGGCGGCGCAUGCGCAGAAGCGGCUUUGACCCCCCCCUAGGGGCGGGGCUUCCGGCCUCGUGCGUAGGGGCAGAGGACGCAUCCGG